AUGUCCUACGGGACGCAGCAGUGGGGAAUAUUGGGCAAUGGACGCAAGUCUGACCCAGCAACGCCGCGUGAAGGAAGAAGGCUUUCGGGUUGUAAACUUCUUUUAAGGGGGAAGAGCAGAAGACGGUACCCCUUGAAUAAACCACGGCUAACUACGUGCCAGCAGCCGCGGUAAUACGUAGGUGGCAAACGUUGUCCGGAUUUACUGGGUGUACAGAGCGUGCAGCCGGAGAGACAAGUCAGAUGUGAAAUCAACGGGCUCAACCCGUGAACUGCAUUUGAAACUGUUUCCCUUGAGUG
rnacentral:rRNA from 1 species